rnacentral:rRNA from 1 species
GAAUACAAACUCUAUGUGUGUGCCCUCCCGCUGCCCGGUCAGCCGGGCGUUGGAGCGGUGCCAUGUCUUAACAAUAAACGACUCUCGGCAACGGAUAUCUCGGCUCUCGCAUCGAUGAAGAACGUAGCGAAAUGCGAUACUUGGUGUGAAUUGCAGAAUCCCGUGAACCAUCGAGUUUUUGAACGCAAGUUGCGCCCGAAGCUUCGGCUGAGGGCACGUCUGCCUGGGCGUCACGCAUCGCGUCUCCCCCAAAUCCACCCCGAGUGGAGGGGAAGGAGGAUGGUCUCCCGUGCCUCACCGGUCGCGGCUGGCCUAAAAUCGGAGCCCUCGGCAUCGGGAUGCCGCGGCGAUAGGUGGUGAACAAGGCCUCGGCCGAGCAAGCAACCCGUCGCGCGUCGCGGUGCCAACGAGGGCUCGAAGGACCCUUUGACGUUGCCUCGUUGCAACCAAACCGUUGCG